CAUUGUUUAGUGACAGUUUCCACAAGACCUUUGUUAAUGACAUAGGCAGUAUAAUAAUUGUGUUGUAAAGCACAAGUCUCAACCAGGGAGAGAGAGAGUGAAUUAUACAGUUCACUUCACAUAACAGAAAUGAGGGCUAACCCUAUAAGUGCCAAAAUUUAAACCUUUUGUGAUGUAAAGCUUCUUAAAAUGUUGGUACACUUCUCUCCCCUCUCAAACAGAAGAAUCUCCCCCCUCCACCUAAUCCUGUCUCUGACCUCCAACCCCCCGAACCCAAGCUGAAAGCAGCAUCUGACACGUCUUGGCCCACUAAUGUUGGCAAGCAAUUAUUCUUUCCUUCCCCUCAACACAGAAAAUUAAACCUUUACAAGUUGCAAUAUUUAAAGGGCUACGGUUUGAAGACAUGAGAAGGCAAGGGUCCCACCGCAGGCUAAGUGGUUCUUGCCUCCACAUCCUCCUGUAUACAACUGUUCUGUCUGCCCUGAGACAGCCAUUUCACCAGACACCACCAGCCCACAGAACUGCUGCUUAUCUACCAUUCCCUUGGUUCUAUUCUUGUCUCUUGUAACUUCUCCCAUGCUGCUUGCCUUUGUAUCUUUCAGGGGCAGGGCUGGUAGGUGGGGGCUCUCCUUUCCCUCCUCUUCCUGCAAAGACAGUGGUGGAACUAACUGCAGGCAUUUUUUCCAGUUGGCCUCUCCCCCUCCUUAAUGCUGACCUUUCCGGAUGCUCCGGAGUUUAUUUAUGAGUUGAAAGACUACUGUUGUUGAGGGAGGUAGAUUAUGUGCAGGAUUACUUCUGGAUUGAGUUCAGGGAAACUGGAAGUUUUGGAAAUCCAGAUUCUGGGCUCCCAGACUUAGACCCAUGAUUGCUCCUCAGUGAGCUGCUCUGCUGGCUGUGACUCAGACUUGACUCAACUUCGAUCACUUGACAAAUGUUUACUAAGUGUCUACUAUGAGUCUUCAAACACUGCUCUGAUACUGGAGACAUGGCAGUGAACAAAAACAAUACUUCUCAAUUCUACCUUUGGAUUUCUGUCUCAACUAUGGUUGAGGUCAGAAAAACGUGAAGCUGUUGCCGAGGCCUGGGAAGUUGUGAGCGCUCCAUGCAGGAAAAUGGCAGGACCAGAUUGCAUCUGACUAAAAGACAUCACUUGAGUUCUGUGAGGCCUAAGCUGCUGCGAAAGAAGCUGGAUUGCCCUGUUGGAGAGACUAUGUGAAAAGAUACGGAGAGACAGAAAGACCUAGAGACUGCAUGGAGGAAAAUUAAAGAAUCCAGCUGACAGAAAUCUGUGGCACCAAACAUACAACCCCAGUUAGGUUAUUCCAGCCAGCACCAGCUGUCUAAGCCACCCCAGCUGAGGUAUCAGACAUGGGAGUACAGAAGCCAUUUUGCACAUUUCACUCCAGCAGACAUCAUGUGGAGAGAGAUGAAUUCUCCACACUGUGUCCUGUCCAGUUUUCUGACACAGGAAACCAUGAGAAGCAAUAAAAUAUUUUAAGCCACUUAGUUUUGGUAUAGUUUGUUACACAGUAAUAAAUAACUGAAACAGGAAUGAAUUCAGUUACCAUUGUUUUACUUUUUAAACUAAUAUUUUAAAAUGAGAAAACAUUAAGACCAUCUCAAAUGGCUAUAGAAUUCUUAACUAGAAGCACCUAUUUUUAAUGCCAAGAACUGGGUCAUUCAGGUCUAUAUAGCUUUUCCUGUUGCUUCUCAAUAAUCUUAUUUCUUCCUCUAGAGAAAGGUAUAAAUUUUAAAAGUCAUUCUCUUAGGAGGAGGCAUUUUGGAUGGAUGCCAGUAUGCAUAACUCUAGGUAUAAAUUGUAAAGCAUUUGAGAGGAAUUAGUGAGCCAUAUAAACUUCAAGAUAUCUCCCCUAAGUAUUGCUUCACACACUGGGCUUUUGCUAAAUAUUGAGUGACAGAAUAUUAGACAAAUUGAUCUGGAGUGCAAUUUGUCUAUUACACCACUUAACACUAAGCAGUUUAAUAGUCAUCUGAACAAGGAGAAGAGUUGUAUCCUCUCAGGGCUUUGAGGAGAAGUUGAGGAGGCUGUCAGGAAUAACAGCCUGAACAGAGGACAUUUCCACCCCGCUUAACUUGUGUCAAGAGAAUGAAUGGAAGGAGGAAAGGCCAUGAUUCUCUGUAAGAAAUAAUUUUGCAUCUGCUCUCCCACUAGAGAAAUGGAUAAUCAAGCCUUAUUGUCUUCACCAUCAGGCACGGCAACACUGAUUUUAACAACCCCCACAAUCCAAAUCUUGAAACGGUCACAACCAGAAAUUAACCUAGGGCAUACACUUUUUUUUCUUCAACAAAAUAUCUAUGGUAAAAAUAAAUAAAUAAAUAAAUAAAUAAAUAAAUAAACUUAUCUUGAGCAGAAUUACUUCAUGGGAUGCUCUCUAAAUUAUCUGUUUACAAAAUAGACAUCUACAUAACUGAAAUAUUUAAAUUGCUGUAGGAUCUCAUCCCUAAGCCAGUUAAAUGUUAGGAACUCAUUGUGAAAAUUACCUUCACUUUUAUUGUCUGUUGUGAAAUACUGUGUUGGCACUAGGGAGCAGAAUAAAUUGUCCAUACCAAAUCUAAAUUAAGAAAACAAUAUUAUCUUCGCAUAAGAGGUAGUAUAUAGUAAUGAUUAAGAGUUCAGGUUCUGGAGUCAGAUUUUCUGACUUGAAUUCUGGUCUCGUCUCAUAGUAGCCAUGCUACCUGUGAAAAGUUACUUCUAUCUCUCUAGGCUUCACCUUUCUAUUGGGAAAAAUGGAAAUAAAAAUGGCAUCAACUUCAUAGAGCUUCUGUGGGGAUUAAAUGAGAAUAAACUUUGUAGAAUGCUUAGCCUAAUACCUGGCACAGAGUAAAAGGUCAACAAAUGUUAGCUAUUUCUAGUCCCUAUUAUGGAGGAUGUAUAUCCAACUCACUACCAGGUGUUAAAUUAUUAAGGUAAAAAUUACAAAAAAGGCAAAAUCAAAUCAAAUACAUGUUUGACUUCACAAAAAUCACUACUGGAUCCAUCAAGAGACCAUUUCUACUGAUUUUCUAAUUAGUAUUAAGGUGUCAGUAUUAAUAAUCAAAGAUACGCAAUAUCCUUAUAGAGUUUAAUCUGUAAUCAACUCCUACUCACAGAUUCAAAGGCCAAAGAAAAAUCAAUAAAUCACACAAAGUAAUUAAAAUGGAUUGCAAAGUGAUAUAGAAAACAAGUCUUUCCUGAUCUUUCUGUAGAAUCUAUGGCCUGAGAAGACAGUAGAAAUGACAUGUUCUUAGGAGAGUUGAGGAACUAAACCUUUUGAAUGGAUUGUUACUUUAUGUAAAGGCUUCAUAAUUUAGUGGCAUAAAACGGUUGGCUUUCAAAAAGUGGCAUAGACUGUGCCCUGAAUAGAAUCAGAAGAGAAGAUUGUCUACAGAUCUCAUAGAGGUCAACUCAUUGUCAAAAAUUUAAGUAUGAAAUUUAGAGUUGUCUUUGACCUAUUCCGGGUCCUGGAAAUGCUACUACUUACAUUAAAGAGUAAGUCAGGGAGAGGUAAGAUUAUGCCAGGGUACACAUGGCUGCCAUAAACAACAUGCUCUUGGGUCAAAUACCUUCAGCCAGCCAGACUUGAGCUAUGAGGAGCAUCUCAUAUGUAGAAGAUGGAAAAGAAGUGAGUGGGGAAAAGUCAAUGAAGUCAAUAACAUCUUUAUGAGAUUCCUUCUUUAUGGGUGUUCUGGAGAAACCAUGAGAACAAUAAACAGGUUAUUAAAUAUCCAUACCUCUUGGCACCAAGUAAAAUGAUUUUUGGUAUUAUAUAGAAAUAAACAUUUUGGCCUCUCUAAAGCAUUUACCAGAAUUAAUUAAAGUAGUUCAUAUGUUGGAAAUAUCAUAUUCAUCUAGUGUCUAAGAUGGUUAAUGGAGGUUGAUAGAGAAGGAAAUGUGGAAUAAACCAAAUAAAAUUUUAGCAAGUACAUUCAGGGACUUAGCUUACAAAUUUUUGAUGGUCUAAGUCCAAGGCUUCAUAAACUGAAGAAUACAAAAUAAUACAGUAGUGACUAGAAAGGAUACUAGUGUAUCUAAAUGCCAAGUCAUAUUAUUUCUGUAGUAUAUUUUGAGUGCAUCUUACAUGUAGGAUCAACUGCACUAACAUUUAGAUUAGGCUCAUUAUAUUAAAUGCAAUUUAUGCCAAUAUUAAGCUACAUUCUCUCUAGGUGGAUUGGGUCUUCUUGUUUUUUGCCUUGUGUCUCACUUUAUGCCACAUUCAUAUAGGCCAAAAUUUAUUAGGUGCGAUUUGCUAACAUUCAUAUAAUUAAUAGUUCCUAAGCACAAGCAAAAAAAAUGUCCACUCCCCCACCAAGCAAAUUAUCACUGAAAUGUUUACUGGGUUUCUUUACUUGCAAUUACUUCUGUUGUUGUUUUUAGUCCACAAUUAGUUACCUUCAUUUUUAGCACUAUUCUAGCUAAUUCAUAUCUGAAAAGAAACAGUGUCAAGGAAGAAAUCAACUUAAAUGGAACUAUCCUCCAGCUGUCUACCAUGCACUAGCACUAGAAAUAGAAAAUAAAACUUGGUUGAAAAUGAAUUCUGGCAUGGUUCCCUCUCUUUUAAAACUUGGCAUAAAAUAUGAUUUGGGGGAAUAGAUGCACAUUUUGCGAAGAUAGCAGGUUAUUUUGGUAUCUCGUGGGUGGGCAAAACAAACCACAAUCAUUUCUAGAAGGGCUUCAACUCAUGAAGAUGGAUAAAAUGAUCCUGUUCCCAAUUAACCACUAAAAGAAACACAGAUGAUUACAUUGUCUUUAUUAUUCACUGGGGAGCUGGGUGGUUGGAAUUCUUAGCAAAGGAAAAAGUCCUUGAGCUCUAGGUCACUGAGUGAAAUCACUUCGAGGUUUAAAAUGGAAAAUUUUUCUUUUUUUCAACUCUAUUUGAGGGUAAUUGGGCUUGUAUCAAAAUUGGUAGCAUUGUUGGGGAGAUGUUAUUAAAUAGGCAAAGGCUUCUACCCUCCUCCAAGGGACUGUGUUAGUGGUCAAGGGGCUGGACAACUGGAUGGGUCAAGAGAAGACCCUGCUACUUAUAAAUUUAUUUCAAAAUUAGUUAUUGAUGAGUCUGUCCUCUCUUUUACCCCCAUUUGAUUAAGAGAGCUGGCUCUAAGAAUUAACUUUGCAUGUGUGUGUGUGUGUGUGUGUGAGAGAGAGAGAGAGAGAGAGACACACACACACACACACACACACAGAGAGUCAGAAUUAGAGACGGCUAUAGAACAAAGGGCAGCACAGAUAGCAACAGGACUCACAAGCCAUAAUCAGUCAUAACAAAAUUAGUGGUUAAUAUUUUUAUUAAUUAUACCUAAAAUGGGAGACAUUUAGAAGCAACUGUUGCUAAUCUGUUCCUAGAGAAGGAAAUGUAGAACAAACUGAGCUAAUAAACCAAAUAAAACUUUAGCAAGUCUAUUCAGGGACUUAGCUCAUAAAUUUUCAAUGGCCUAAGUCUAAGGCUUCAUAAACUGAAGAAUACAAAAUAAUACAGUAGUGACUAGAAAGGAUGCUAGUGUAUCUAAAUGAUGAGCCAAACUAUGUGUUGUUUGGGUAUUUGUCUUUUACCCCUUUUGUCUUUCACUCUUUCCUAUCAACUUUGACUCCACAGGUCACUCUACAAAUGCCAUGAUAUUUCUCAACUUCUUUGUGCUGCCUUAAAUUAUUGUACUUCCUGCCUCCAAUAGCAUCCAAUGCUAUUAACCUAAUUCAGACUGUCAUCACUUAUCACCUGGAUUAAAGCAGCAUGUCCUAAUUGGUCUUUCUAAUUCCAGUCUUGUUUCCCUCUAAUUCACAUUUCAGUCACAGGCAUCUUCAUAAAUUACAUAUCUAAUCAUGUCACCUGCUUUUCUUUUAAAAUUAUUUCCUGCAUUUUAAGUAUAACUUUUCUAGCAUAGCUCACAAUAACUUAAUUCCUUUGUAUUCUAUGCUACUGCCACAUUGAACUAUGCUUCCAUCUCUGAAAGGCGAACACCUUCUGUAUCUAUGUUUUUUCCAUAUGCCUGGGAUUUUAUUUAUACUUAGAAUCUAAGCCCUGAGAGAACAGGGAACUUAGUGAAUGUAUUCACUAUGGUAUUCCCAUUUUCUGAGCUCCUAGAGGAAUGCCUAGCUCAUAGUAGAUACUCAAUAACAGUCUGGUAAGUGUGCCAACUAAAUGAAUGAAUGAUCAACUGUAUUAGCUUAACUAAUGUUAAGUUGAGCCAGUUCUCUUAGAGAAGAAGUUAUUAUCUGUUGCAGGUUGAAAAAUACCCCAAUGAUGUCCACAUCCUAUUUCCUGGAACCUACGAAUAUGUGGUCUUAUUUGGGAGAAGGAAAUUUGCAGAUAUAAUUUAGUUAAGGAUCUUGAGACGGGGAGUUAUUCUGGAUUUUCUGAGCGGGCUCCAUGUAAUCACAUAAGUUUUUAUAAACGGGAGACAGAAAGUUAAAGACAGAAGAUGCUGGGUUUGAGGAUAGAGGAAGAGGCCAUGAACCAAAGGAUGCAGGCAGCUUCUGGACACUGGAAAGCACAAGACAGGAGAUUCUUCCUGGAACCUCCAGAACGAAUGCAGCCUAAUAGAUUCAUUUUAGAUAGCUAACCCCAAGAACAUAACAUAAUACAGUAGUUUUCCCUUAUCUGAGGGAAAUAUGAUCCAAGACCCCCCAGUGGAUGCCUGAAACCAUGGAUAGUACCAAACCCUAUCUAGAGAGUCAUCCUUUGGUAUCAAUGAGGGAUUAGCAUGUGUCUGUAUGUGUCUCACGAAAGUUAGGGUCAAUAAAGAUUCUAAUCACAUUUUCUUAUUAAACAUAAGCUUGAGCAUUUAUCUUUUUAAGUACAA